rnacentral:rRNA from 1 species
CCCUUAGAUGUUCUGGGCCGCACGCGUGCUACACUGAGUAAAUCAAUGGGUAAGGGAACACGAAAGUGCAACCUAAUCUUCAAAUUUGCUCGUGAUGGGGAUCGACGGUUGCAAUUUUCCGUCGUGAACGAGGAAUACCUUGUAGGCGCGUGUCAUCAUCACGCGCCGAAUACGUCCCUGCCCUUUGUACACACCGCCCGUCGCUCCUACCGAUUGAGUGAUCCGGUGAGGCUCUGGGACCUGGACGGAAAGAGCGUUUCGCUCGUUCUGUUUGGGAAACUUGGUCGAACCUUAUCAUUUAGAGGAAGGAGAAGUCGUAACA